rnacentral:rRNA from 1 species
UAGUACGAGAGGACCGGAGUGGACGCAUCACUGGUGUUCGGGUUGUCAUGCCAAUGGCACUGCCCGGUAGCUAAAUGCGGAAGAGAUAAGUGCUGAAAGCAUCUAAGCACGAAACUUGCCCCGAGAUGAGUUCUCCCUGAGACUUUAAGUCUCCUGAAGGAACGUUAAAGACGAUGACGUUGAUAGGCCGGGUGUGUAAGCGCAGCGAUGCGUUGAGCUAACCGGUACUAAUGAACCGUGAGGCUUAACCUU